CCUGAAUGCGUGAGAGCGCCUUGGGGCGUUGAUUAAGCUACAAAGGGCGCACGGUGGAUGCCUUGGCGAUGAGAGGCGAUGAAGGGCGUGGACAGCGACGAAAUGCUACGGGGAGCCGCUCACAGGCUGUGAUCCGUAGAUGCCCGAAUGGGGAAACCCACCUUGCCGUGAGGCACGGUACCGCUUGCUGAAUACAUAGGCAAGACGGAGCCAACCUGGGGAAGUGAAACAUCUCAGUACCCAGAGGAAAAGAAAUCAAGACAGAGACUCCCUUAGUAGCGGCGAGCGAACGGGGACCAGGCCAAACCCAGGGUAGAGAUACUCUGGGGGUUGUAGGGCCCAUGACAUGGCAUGAGCAACACGAGACGAACAGGCAUGGAAAGGCCGGCCAGAGCGGGUGACAGCCCCGUAGUCGUAGUGGCGCGAAGCCUAGUGGGUACCUGAGUACCGCGGGACACGUGAAAUCCUGUGGGAAUCCGGCGGGACCAUCCGCCAAGCCUAAGUACUCCUCAUCGA
rnacentral:rRNA from 1 species